CCUACGGGUGGCUGCAGUCGAGAAUCAUUCACAAUGGGGGAAACCCUGAUGGGGCGACGCCGCGUGGGGGAAUGAAGGUCUGCGGAUUGUAAACCCCUGUCAUGUGGGAGCAAAGUAAAAAGAUAGGACCACAAGAGGAAGAGACGGCGAACGCUGUGCCAGCAGCCGCGGUAAUACAGAGGUCUCAAGCGUUGUUCGGAACCACUGGGCGUAAAGCGUGCGGAGGCUGUUUCGUAAGUCGUGUGUGAAAGGCGCGGGCUCCACCCGCGGACGGCACAUGAUACUGCGAGACUAGAGUAAUGUAGGGGGAACCGGACUUCUCGGUGUAGCCGU
rnacentral:rRNA from 1 species